UAGGGAAUCUUCGGCAAUGGACGAAAGUCUGACCGAGCAACGCCGCGUGAGUGAAGAAGGUUUUCGGAUCGUAAAACUCUGUUGUUAGAGAAGAACAAGGACGUUAGUAACUGAACGUCCCCUGACGGUAUCUAACCAGAAAGCCACGGCUAACUACGUGCCAGCAGCCGCGGUAAUACGUAGGUGGCAAGCGUUGUCCGGAUUUAUUGGGCGUAAAGCGAGCGCCGGCGGUUUCUUAAGUCUGAUGUGAAAGCCCCCGGCUCAACCGGGGAGGGUCAUUGGAAACUGGGAGACUUGAGUGCAGAAGAGGAGAGUUGAAUUCCAUGUGUAGCGGUGAAAUGCGUAGAUAUAUGGAGGAACACCAGUGGCGAAGGCGGCUCUCUGGUCUGUAACUGACGCUGAGGCUCGAAAGCGUGGGGAGCAAACAGG
rnacentral:rRNA from 1 species